CGCACUUCCGCUGCAGACAGAAACAUCCACCCACACGCCGGAAAUCGGAUAAUAAAAAAUAAAAAUCGGAAAAUAAAAUAAAAAUCGGGCGUUACGUAAUGUGUUUACAUAAAUGAACGGGCGUUAAUUAUAAAAUCGGAUAAACGCUUCCGGUUUUGGACAGAAGACCUGACACUCGCUGUUGACUUUAAGCUGGAGCUUAUGGCUCUUCUCUUUCUGUAAAUACACACACCUUAUUCAGAAUUCCCUCUGUGUUAUACUGCAAUCAUCUCAAUUUAAUAUUUGAUAGGACACAAACUGAUACUCGUAUUGUAAAGCUGAAGGGCAUCAGAGAUUGAGGCUAAUAAUUAUUUUAAAUACUAUGUAUGAGUGGACAGGAAUAGUUAGAACAAUUCCCCUUUAGCUUCACCUUUUCUGACAUAUUUAUAUUAGGUCUAGCUAUGUUACAUUCUGUUGUCUUAAUAUCAUAAGGUUCGACUGCAUUCCAACAUAAUUUAUCAUAUGUUAUUAGCACUUUUGCAUUCCUAAAUUCUUACUCUGAACCAUCAUUCAUUUAAUAUCUGGCUCUAAUUGUCUAUAAUAUUGUCUUACCUUGUGCUGCUGGACCACCUUAUUUGCCCAUAUUUAAAUACGACAAACUCAAUUCUGUGUUUUAACUUAGCUCUGUGUGUUACCAAAGUGAAUAAGUAAAGUCAUACAAAAAAUCUAUACAUUGUAAACGUUAUAUAACACUUUAUUAAGAACACUCAACAGAUAACUGAACUCAGAACCUCAACACACACACACACACACACACACACACACACACACACACACACACACACACACACACACACACACACACACACACACACACACACACACACACACACACACACACACACACACACACACACAG